CAGUCGAACGACUCUGGUAUUGAUUGGUGCUUGCAUCAUGAUUUACAUUUGAGUGAGUGGCGAACUGGUGAGUAACACGUGGGAAACCUGCCCAGAAGCGGGGGAUAACACCUGGAAACAGAUGCUAAUACCGCAUAACAACUUGGACCGCAUGGUCCGAGUUUGAAAGAUGGCUUCGGCUAUCACUUUUGGAUGGUCCCGCGGCGUAUUAGCUAGAUGGUGAGGUAACGGCUCACCAUGGCAAUGAUACGUAGCCGACCUGAGAGGGUAAUCGGCCACAUUGGGACUGAGACACGGCCCAAACUCCUACGGGAGGCAGCAGUAGGGAAUCUUCCACAAUGGACGAAAGUCUGAUGGAGCAACGCCGCGUGAGUGAAGAAGGGUUUCGGCUCGUAAAACUCUGUUGUUAAAGAAGAACAUAUCUGAGAGUAACUGUUCAGGUAUUGACGGUAUUUAACCAGAAAGCCACGGCUAACUACGUGCCAGCAGCCGCGGUAAUACGUAGGUGGCAAGCGUUGUCCGGAUUUAUUGGGCGUAAAGCGAGCGCAGGCGGUUUUUUAAGUCUGAUGUGAAAGCCUUCGGCUCAACCGAAGAAGUGCAUCGGAAACUGGGAAACUUGAGUGCAGAAGAGGACAGUGGAACUCCAUGUGUAGCGGUGAAAUGCGUAGAUAUAUGGAAGAACACCAGUGGCGAAGGCGGCUGUCUGGUCUGUAACUGACGCUGAGGCUCGAAAGUAUGGGUAGCAAACAGGAUUAGAUACCCUGGUAGUCCAUACCGUAAACGAUGAAUGCUAAGUGUUGGAGGGUUUCCGCCCUUCAGUGCUGCAGCUAACGCAUUAAGCAUUCCGCCUGGGGAGUACGGCCGCAAGGCUGAAACUCAAAGGAAUUGACGGGGGCCCGCACAAGCGGUGGAGCAUGUGGUUUAAUUCGAAGCUACGCGAAGAACCUUACCAGGUCUUGACAUACUAUGCAAAUCUAAGAGAUUAGACGUUCCCUUCGGGGACAUGGAUACAGGUGGUGCAUGGUUGUCGUCAGCUCGUGUCGUGAGAUGUUGGGUUAAGUCCCGCAACGAGCGCAACCCUUAUUAUCAGUUGCCAGCAUUAAGUUGGGCACUCUGGUGAGACUGCCGGUGACAAACCGGAGGAAGGUGGGGAUGACGUCAAAUCAUCAUGCCCCUUAUGACCUGGGCUACACACGUGCUACAAUGGAUGGUACAACGAGUUGCGAACUCGCGAGAGUAAGCUAAUCUCUUAAAGCCAUUCUCAGUUCGGAUUGUAGGCUGCAACUCGCCUACAUGAAGUCGGAAUCGCUAGUAAUCGCGGAUCAGCAUGCCGCGGUGAAUACGUUCCCGGGCCUUGUACACACCGCCCGUCACACCAUGAGAGUUUGUAACACCCAAAGUCGGUGGG
rnacentral:rRNA from 2 species